CCGGCAACGGCUCGCGGCAAUCCGGGCCGUGCCGCCGGCCGAGCGGCUGAUCCUCGCCGGCCUGGUGGUGCUCGCGGUUCUCGUCCGCGUCGUCGGGC
rnacentral:tRNA from 1 species